UUCUACAUGAUGAUUUCAUUUCUUAUAAGUAUGUUUUUUCUGGCAUCUCUAAUGUUAGGGCCUUGUUUCAGUACCGGGCUCGAUGAGUACAACCAUUGACUAUAUAUCUGAUA
rnacentral:snoRNA from 1 species